rnacentral:lncRNA from 1 species
CUGGAGGAUUCCUGGAGAGCUGCUAAUCUCCGGUGUGUCUUGGAAGCCCAAAAGGUUGGUUCUAAUCUUGGUGAAGGAACAAGAUAGAGUGGUUGCCAGCAAGAAUGAGGGCAAACAGGGAAAAAUCUAUUAUCCUUUUGUCGCCUUUUAUCUGAGCCGCCACCAGAAGGUGGAGCCUGCAUUUAGGGUGGGUCUUCCUGUUUCGAAUAAUCUGGCUAAGAAAAUCGCUCACUCUGCAUUUUGCAUUUAAUUGAUUGUCCAGUCAGGUUGACAGCCAAGAUUAACCAGCACAGAAGGAAAGGGGAGAGGGCAGGGAAGAAGAGGAGGGAAGAGUAGAGCUGAACUCACAGGGAGGUGAUUCACACCCGAUAUACUUUCUGUCAGUCUGUGGAUACAGGGACAGGAUGUGUGACAAUCUUCCACAGAAAUCAGGCAGGUCAUACACUGGAAAGCCAAUGCUUAAUAAACCAGGAAUGAGUGAAGAGAAGACACAUCGCCAUGCUUGGUCCCGGGUCCUGCUGAGAAUAUGAGUGGUGUUACCUUAAGCUGAUUCUUCCCAGGGCCAGCCCUACCUCAAAGAGUGUGGUUUGCUAUUUUUCACCUAAGCAAGAAAAGGACUAAGAGCCCACAAUCCCCUACCUCAACCAGCAUCUAUGAAGCAAGAAGAUCUCUGACUGGGAACUGUGUGGUCAUCUUUGAGAAACCACAACUGAAGCUGAGAGUAUGAGGGAUGGGGGAGGGGCACCUGCAAUUGCAGGGCUGGAGGCACAGGGAGCCCGAAGCAGCUCAGCUAUGCGGGUCCAAAGGCCUCAGUUCCCUGGGGCCUGACUCAGGCAGCCCCAGAACAGGUUUAUGUGGGUGUUUUUUUCUCUCUCCCCAUGUGUGUGUGUGUGUGUGUUUUCAUGUGUGUGUGGAGGCCAAAGGUUAAACUUGGGUGUCCUCUCCAGCCCUCCUGUAACUUGUUGUUUGAAACAGGGUUUGCUACUUUGGACUUGAACUGGUCUUUUUGGCUAGGCUAGACAGCCCAUGUGCUCCUCCAAGGAACAGCCUGUCUCUGUCCCGCUAAUGCUGGGGUCACCACCUCACACUCAGGUUCUAACGAUUGUUACAUUGAACCAUCACCCCAUCCCUGGACGCAAGAUCUUGAUGGAGAAACAUCAUACUUCAGAAAUUGAAUGGAGGAGGCUGAAAUAUGUAGAGAAAUCUUCGAAGAGGAUUUCUGACCGUGGGGAAGAGAUGACCAAAGAGGACCCUGAAACCAGGCAGGGAGUGCCCACCACGAUACACCUACUUCAUGAAACCAGUGGCUUGUGGGUAGUUUUCAAGGACGUUGGAGGAAAUGGCAUGGUGACUGAAUCAGAUAUCCAAGAAACGUAGAGAACAGGAGGAUGUCAGCCUGGAAUCAAGGCUGUACAGCCAGGGUUAGGGGAGGCCAGCAGAGGGAGGCUGAGCUGUCGGGACUUCCACAGCUCUCUGAAACAGAAGUCACCUGCUUUCUGAUUGCUUUCUGAUUUUGCAUCUCCUCCAUCUGGUCUCUCUGGAGAAGUGACUCUUUCUUUGCAAAUGCCUGAAUUGCUUUGUGUGUUCACUAUGCUACCCAGCAGUUAUCCUUCCCUGUAGCAAGCUACCCAAGGUUGUCUCUCUCCCAUCCCCCCGCACCCCUCCGCCGCC